GGAGUAGCCAUCCUAAAUGAUCACACCUUCAAGAAGGGAAUCCUGACGUCCUUCUUUCAGCUUUCAUCUCAAAUUUCUUAUCCUCCAAAGAAUUUCCAAAAUUUGAACUUAUCUCUUACAAAAAUUUCCGGCCGUUGUUUUUUUUCUCCAAAAGCCACCAAUUUUCUCCCUACAACCCCCCCCCCCCAUUUUUGAACACAUAAAUUCUUUAUCAUCUAAAACAGAGGGAGGGUUUUCAGAUAGCUAAUAGAGCAUCUCAGAUUUAAGGAUUUUUUUAUACGAAAAAAGUUUUCUUCUUUUGCUGCAUCAAGCUUCUUUGUUCGUCGUAGUCCAGCGAUCGUUUCAGUGGUGAGAUCUUCGUUAUUGUCCUGAAAAGGUUUCCCCACACAAAAUCAACCCAUUUUUUCCCUGCAUAACCCCCUUCCUUCACGGAUUUGACCAUCGAAAAACACAAAAAAAUCUUAAUGAUCUAAAAUAGAGGGGUUUUUCAUAUAGCUAAUGGAAGCGGUUUCCUCCUCGGCUGUAUCAAGCUUCUUUGUCCGUGGGAGUCCAACCACCAUUUCAGUGGUUGAAACUUCAUCUCAUCCCAAUUGCUGCCCGGUAAACGUAACCCUUUUCUCCUUUUAUGAUUCAUCUUUUUCCAGUUAAUUCUCUGUUUAGUUAAAUAGCGGUACAUCUAUUUAAGUUUGUUAAAUAACUGUUAUUUAUUUUCAAUAGCAGUUUAAGAAAUAUUGCUAUCUCUAUAUGUUGCUUAAUACAGUAUGAAUCAUAAUUUAUAAGGUCAUCUUUUGAAUUUUCAUUCCAGA